CGGAGGGUGCAAGCGUUAUCCGGAUUCACUGGUUUAAAGGGUGUGUAGGCGGGCUUAUAAGUCAGCGGUGAAAUCUCCGGGCUCAACCCGGGAACUGCCAUUGAUACUAUAAGUCUUGAAUCUUGUUGAGGUAGGCGGAAUAUGUCAUGUAGCGGUGAAAUGCUUAGAUAUGACAUAGAACACCGAUUGCGAAGGCAGCUUACUAAGCAAGCAUUGACGCUGAGGCACGAAAGCGUGGGGGAUCAAACAGGAUUAGAUACCCUGGUAGUCCACGCCCUAAACGAUGAUUACUCGACAUACGCGAUACACAGUGUGUGUCUGAGCGAAAGCAUUAAGUAAUCCACCUGGGAAGUACGUCCGCAAGGAUG
rnacentral:rRNA from 1 species